CUGCUUCGGUCCCCGCGAGCGCGGCAUGGCGCGGCCGGCAGCGCCGAGGGAGAGGCUCCGCUCGCCGCCGAGGAGAAAGGAGGUUAGGACAUCAGUGUGAGAGGUGGGGAGCACCAUCCAGCCUCUAACAGGAGGAGAGGAUUCAGGCGGAAGGAGGAGGGAGACCAAAUGUAUGAGUGCCAUUCGCUGCGUCUGUCCGGAGAUCAUCUGGUUGUGGAUAGCGUGUCUGCUUUAUCAGGAGAUAGUUUGGAGCAGGUACACCUAUAAAGCCUUCCCACCCUAACGCCUCCAUCUACCGCUAGACACAAACCAUUUCAGUGUUUGAGGAUGGCAGAACCCAGGAUAGAAGUGGCCAGCGUCCCUAAGCACUGUGUGGGGAAACAUCACCACCACGCUGGACACCUGCAUCAGACCAUUCAGUGAAGAAUGACGUCGAACGCAUGAAAGCACUGAAUUGGAUGGAUCAAGGCACACACACGGGUUUCUCCUGUAGCGCCCUGGACAGCCUUCCACCAGCACCUCACUCAUAGUCACUUCAUUUGUGCCCCAAACAUUAAUCUGCACACCAGACUGAGCUAGGAUAUAAAGAAGAGUAAGAUCUUGCUCAUGGCCCCUGCGCUCCGUGGCUGGCUCGCUUAUCGAGAAGAGCGUUAACCAGCACCACUUGAUUAAUUACUCUGGGAGAAACACAAGAUGUGAUGGAAAAGAGAAGGGCUCCUAGCUCAGCCUGGGGAGAGGCACGGGUGAGAAGCAGCACUUUUGCAGAAGAAAACAGAUGCAAGGUUGACCGGGUGUGCACAUACUGCAGCACCCCGAUGCUGGGGAAAGCAGGGAGGAAGGGAGACCCCACCUCUGGCCUGCAUUCUCCAGUCUCUAAAAUAGUCUGCUUUCUUGGGCCUCCCUGGUGAUGCAAAGGGUUACAUUUCAGCACUAUGAAGCUAUCUGCAGCCACUACAGCCUGAG